CAUGGGGCUACCUUGUCCUUCUCAUGGGAGCUGAGGUCCAGAAGGACGUGGAGGUACUGGAACUGACGCGCCGGGCGCUUAAAGAUCAGGUCACGGAGGGUCGACAUACCCAGGGCACUCUCUGUGAUCAGUGGGGCCUCCAACACCACUUUGGUGAAGAUUCUGGAGGGAAGAGGAAACAGACUGUUGCCAAGUGGACGCCCAGGCCCUGCUGCCUUUCGGGACUCAACCAACAGGCAAAGGACUCUUGGGCAGCUGCCCACAGCUACCCCAGAGAUCCAGACUCUUCUACCCCAUGCUCGAGGUCUUCCCUCCUCAGGCAGCAAAGCUCCUGACUCCUCUGAACCCCCCACAUUCCAUCUGCCCCUCUCCUAUGGCAGGAAUUGUUUGUUGAGGCAACAAGGGUUAAGUGAGUUGCCCAGGGUAACACAGCUAGUAACGUCCCUCUCCUACGUCCUCGGGAUCGCAGGCCUCGAGCUGGAAAGGACCUCAGAGGCUAGCUAAGGCGGACCCUUCACUUUACAGGCCGGAGAGCAGGCGGAUGAGGCACUCGUCAUACUUGUCCAGGGUCCCCGUGGGCCCAGCGGCCAGAUAGGCGUUGUACUCCUGGUACAGCCAGGCGAAAGCCAGGUCCAGGCGGCCCCGGAU